UUCAUGUGUGUGUGUGUGACAUGGAUUAUAGGUUUCUCCCUUCACAUUCUUCUUCAUUUCCCAGAUAUUCCCAUGUAAACAUGACUAAAUGGACCAUACAGAUGCAAUACAUACAUCAUAUGACUCUGCCUCUACGUAUACAGGGUUUUACAGGUACCAGAGAUGGACGACACUAAAGCCGCCUUUUAAGACUGUGCAACAACAACGAUUGUGUAUAUUUAUUGCAUGUCACACUAUGUAAGACGCCUAUAAUAAAAUCUAUGUCAGACUGCACAAUAUCAGUUCGAGGCUGUCAGAUUGUGCGAUGAAUGUGUGGUGAAUUAUAGAGCUACAACGUAAACAGAGAAAAGUUUAUGAGCACAGAAAUGUCAUCAGAUCGUCACCUAUCUGCAGGUAAGUCACGCAAACUUUAUUCUGUUUUGUUUUUUGUGUGCAUGUGUGAAUGUAUUAAGGAGAACAAAGGUGUUUAUUCAAAAAACUACUUUUACAAAAUGUCACUCUAGUCAGUGUUGUAUUCUGAUUGGUCGGUUUGUAGUCGUGGAUCAAAGGCAACACUCACAUUGUGAGGAAUUGAUCCUAAAUUUCAGACUCUGUCAGAGUUUUGCUGUUUCUGGUCACCAAAGCUUCAAAUCAGUCAUUGGUGGACGAGUCUCAAAGUGAGAUGUAGGACACCGUUUUGGAUUGACGACCAUAAAUGUCUCUCAAGGUUGUCAGACAGUCCAAAACCGCCCGGUAUAAAAGAGCCUUAAGAGGAAGUCUACAGGUUGACUGUCUGGAAAUACUAAGUUUCAAUAGGAAUAAUAAAUCAUGUAGCCAGGAUUUAAAGGAAGGUGGCUGUGAAGAUUUCCAAAGGAGAAGAAUUUUUCUACAUGCAAUCAAGGACGCAAAAGCUAUCACAUUGUUCUGCAAAGAUGGAGUAACAGGCUGUCAGAGAGAUUCACCUUGGUGGUCGGUAAUAAGCAUCCCGCCUGAAAAGAUUCCCACUUCUUCUCGGAGAAGUAUUCAUGUGCUGUUUGAGCUACAUGAAAGAAAUCUGCGGGGAUAUAUGUGAGAAGAAGAAAAAGAAGAGAGAGAUAGCUUUGAAUGACUGGAGAGCAGAGUUUACCUUGGGAAUGAAGAGAGAAUUAAAAUAUAAAAGAAAAUACAUGAAUAUGGUACUUUAUUGACUGAAUGUACGGUACAUUGCGGUAUGUGUUCUAUAAGUGGAGGAAGCUAAUAUAAAGAAUGGAGAGAUGAAUGUUCAGCUUCUGUAUAUUUUCACUGUGAUGGAAAAUAUGAACUUAAUACUUAAAGGACAUUUUCAGUGUCUUCUGCUAUUGUGCUUUGCUUUGUGCUAUUGUAGUACACUGAGCCCCUGUAUGUGUGUGUGUGUGUGUGUGUGUGUGUGUGUGUGUGUGUGUGUGCAGACAUAACCGCAGAGUUGAGUUUUGUGUGAAAAAAGAGAGAGCUGCAGUGUUAUGAAACAGCUCUGCAUCUCUGUGACUGAGAGGAAUUUGCCAGUCCUCCGCCCGUUUGUAGACUGAAUUAGACCAAUUAUAAAAUAUCACACAGCUGUUAUAUUUACCAGCUGUUCGCGUUCAUGUGGUCACCCGUCACUGGUAAAUAAAUCACAUGAGCUAAUCACAUGAACUACUGAAAAGCCAAAUAACGGAAGCUGAAACUUAAACUUCACUGUUUGUUCUUGUUAAAGCAGGAUCGUUGUGUUCUGAACUGUAUGUAUGUGUUGAAGUUACUGGUCUCAACUUGUCCUGCUGAUAUGAUGAAACUAUGGAUGAAUUAAAAGAGGUCAAGAGGUCAGUUGGUCCCAGUGGUCAACAGUGGAACUGCAACCAUAAAAUCCCACAGACAUGAUGCCUGCAGAACUGUUGACAGGACACUUUGAGCUGCAACUAAGAUCAAAUAUUACACUUUUUACUAUGUAUUAUUAUUU